rnacentral:tRNA from 2 species
GGGCUUAUGGUCUAGGGGUAUGAUUUUCCCUUCGCAUCUUCACUCUGACAUGAUCAGAAGCAAGAUCUCUGGGAAAGGUCCGGGGUUCAAUUCCCCGUGAGUCCA